CCUACGGGGGGCAGCAGUGAGGAAUAUUGGUCAAUGGACGAGAGUCUGAACCAGCCAAGUAGCGUGAAGGAUGACUGCCCUAUGGGUUGUAAACUUCUUUUAUAUGGGAAUAAAAUGUUCCACGUGUGGGAUUUUGUAUGUACCAUAUGAAUAAGGAUCGGCUAACUCCGUGCCAGCAGCCGCGGUAAUACGGAGGAUCCGAGCGUUAUCCGGAUUUAUUGGGUUUAAAGGGAGCGUAGGUGGAUUGUUAAGUCAGUUGUGAAAGUUUGCGACUCAACCGUAAAAUUGCAGUUGAAACUGGCAGUCUUGAGUACAGUAGAGGUGGGCGGAAUUCGUGGUGUAGCGGUGAAAUGCUUAGAUAUCACGAAGAACUCCGAUUGCGAAGGCAGUUCACUGGACUGCAACUGACACUGAGGCUCGAAAGUGUGGGUAUCAAACAGGAUUAGAUACCCGGGUAGUC
rnacentral:rRNA from 1 species